rnacentral:rRNA from 1 species
UCACCCGCCAGGGNACAACGAGCCCCAGCUUAAAACCCAAAGGACUUGGCGGUGCUUUAGACCCCCCUAGAGGAGCCUGUUCUAGAAUCGAUAUUCCCCGUUCAACCUCACCCUCUCUUGUUCCUUCCCGCCUAUAUACCGCCGCCGUCAGCUUACCCUGUGAAGGUCUAAUAGUAAGCGAAAUUGGUAUAACCCAAAACGUCAGGUCAAGGUGUAGCUUACGAGAGGGGAAGAAAUGGGCUACAUUUGCUGGCACAGCAAACACGGACAUUGCACUGAAAUUAAGCAUUCGAAGGAGGAUUUAGCAGUAAGGGUGGAAUAGAGUGCCACCCUGAAGCCGGCACUGAAGCGCG